GAAUGCAAAGAAACAAUGUGGCGGCCUCAGGGCAGACGGCAGGAGUGAUCAAAAUCCAUAAAUGAUGGACUGUUCAGAUUUGUUUACGAGGAAACUCAGCCAGAAUCUACAAGAUUGUGAGGGGACCCGCUCGUUUUGGAUUAAAAGGAUUGGAUUUACUUAUUCUUUGAACUGUUGGCGAUGUAGGAAAAAAAAAGUUUAUGGCAAUAUUUCACCGCUGUGGAAAAAGACACAAGGAAACAGGGGGAUUGCUUGCCUCGGGUGGAUGACAAAGGAGCUGCUAUCCAGUAACCAAGGUGAGGAGCUGUGAACGUCCAUACAAGUUUUCCUCCUGCUAACACCACCGUCCCCAGUCCUUUCCUCAUCCAUCCACCUAGUGGUCCGGUUAAAGAACCAUGCCGGAACAACAUUGGAAGUGUGAAGUCCAUAGCUGUCGGGGAUGCUGAGGCUGAUCUGUAUGGGCCCACUCACAUGUAACUCUGUGUCUCCGGAGAAAAGCUGCACACUUACAGCGGCCACCGGACUCAACUCCACACUGACGUAUCCUUCAAA